rnacentral:rRNA from 1 species
GACGAACGCUGGCGGCGUGCUUAACACAUGCAAGUCGAACGAUGACGCCCGAGCUUGCUCGGUCUGAUUAGUGGCGAACGGGUGAGUAACACGUGAGCAACCUGCCCUUCACUCUGGGAUAACCUCGGGAAAUCGGGGCUAAUACCGGAUAUGAGCUCCUGUCGCAUGGCGGGUGUUGGAAAGUUUUUCGGUGAAGGAUGGGCUCGCGGCCUAUCAGUUUGUUGGUGAGGUAGUGGCUCACCAAGGCGAUGACGGGUAGCCGGCCUGAGAGGGCGACCGGCCACACUGGGACUGAGACACGGCCCAGACUCCUACGGGAGGCAGCAGUGGGGAAUAUUGCACAAUGGGCGGAAGCCUGAUGCAGCGACGCCGCGUGAGGGAUGACGGCCUUCGGGUUGUAAACCUCUUUCAGCAGGGAAGAAGCGAAAGUGACGGUACCUGCAGAAGAAGCGCCGGCUAACUACGUG